CAGUUGGCCGAUUUCCUCCUUGAUGGUGGCGAUGAAUAGUUCCGCCUGUUGCUGCCGCCGAUUUAUGGUCCCCCAUUGAUAUCCCUCGCCUAUCGAUCUAUCUGCCGACCAUAACACCACACUACGGUUUCGAGGUUCAUUUCAGAGAAACAGGAGUGCAAAAGGAGGCUAUCUUUGCCCAACGUAUGCCAUCGUCCACACCCUGGGAUUAAGAGCCUCAUGCUCUACCGACUGAGCUAGCCGGGCUCACACUGCAGCUGUAGGCCACAUCUGUGAUUUGGCCAAUCGGGAACUCCAGAGGUACGCACAUACAUCCAGUACCAGUCUUUAGCCUGCCCGUUCACCAAUCCAUGGAAAUCCCUCAGUACAUCUGACCACGGAACUUGGUACAGUGACUGGAGAUGUUCCAACCGGAAGAUAAAUUCCGCCACCGGCAUUCCCUUCGGGUCUCCGUCGAAGAUCAGGCCCCACCUUCGGAUGUGACUGCUCUCCUGCCUCGUAUCCCCGAUGCUCGUGCGGUUUCCUUGAUAAUGUCCACUCUCAUUACCCGUUUAUUGCAUCCAGCACGAUACGGGAACUUGUCGUUGUUAGGCUUGUUUCUGAUGUUCCGAUUCCAACGCUCGAUUAUCCACAAAAAGGGAUGAGACUACUUCCCUAAUUUCUCGCAUGAAACUUAACGUGCUGGCCUCCAUUGUCUCUUUAAAAGCGCUCAAUUCCUGCGACAGCGAUGCUCUGUAGGUCUUGUGCGCUUGGGCUACCGCUAUAGCCGACUUCAGCUCACUGGGUAGCUCCACUUCGCUCCUGGUUUGUUGCGUUGAUGACGGGGUACCCGCUACAUCGUCUCGGCUACGCAUUCCGACUAGAGAAGUACUCUCCAUUUCUUCGUGCGCAUCACUGAUUGACAAAAUGAGCAUCACUAUUGCCUUGGUUAGAGCCGAUCAGCUGCCUUUGGCUCACUCUGCCGCAAUUAGGCGGGAACAAACUCACUGAUGUGUUGGUACAAUCCGAGUCGUCUCACGGUCUCCGGGCUUUGAUUUCCUGGGUCCUGAGUCCAGUUGGCCGAUUUCCUCCUUGAUGGUGGCGAUGAAUAGUUCCGCCUGUUGCUGCCGCCGAUUUGUAUGUUGAUGGUCCCCCAUUGAUAUCCCUCGCCUAUCGAUCUAUCUGCCGACCAUAACACCACACUACGGUUUCGAGGUUCAUUUCAGAGAAACAGGAGUGCAAAAGGAGGCUAUCUUUGCCCAACGUAUGCCAUCGUCCACACCCUGGGAUUAAGAGCCUCAUGCUCU
rnacentral:sRNA from 13 species